CAGACGGAGGAAUGCAGUGGGGAAUAUUGGACAAUGGGGGCAACCCUGAUCCAGCCAUGCCGCGUGUGUGAAGAAGGCCCUCGGGUUGUAAAGCACUUUCAGUGAGGAAGAACGCCUGGUGGUUAAUACCCAUCAGGAAAGACAUCACUCACAGAAGAAGCACCGGCUAACUCCGUGCCAGCAGCCGCGGUAAUACGGAGGGUGCGAGCGUUAAUCGGAAUUACUGGGCGUAAAGCGCGCGUAGGUGGCUUGAUAAGCCGGUUGUGAAAGCCCCGGGCUCAACCUGGGAACGGCAUCCGGAACUGUCAAGCUAGAGUGCAGGAGAGGAAGGUAGAAUUCCCGGUGUAGCGGUGAAAUGCGUAGAGAUCGGGAGGAAUACCAGUGGCGAAGGCGGCCUUCUGGACUGACACUGACACUGAGGUGCGAAAGCGUGGGUAGCAAACAGGAUUAGAUACCCGAGUAGUC
rnacentral:rRNA from 1 species